rnacentral:rRNA from 1 species
AGAGUUUGAUCCUGGCUCAGAACGAACGCUGGCGGCGUGCUUAAGACAUGCAAGUCGAACGGUAAGGCACCUUCGGGUGUACACGAGUGGCGCACGGGUGAGUAACGCGUGGGUAAUCUACCUUCGGGUUUGGGACAACUCCGGGAAACUGGAGCUAAUACCGAAUGAGACCACGAGGUCCUUGGGCCUUGUGGAAAAAGGUGGCCUCUUCUUGAAAGCUAUCGCCUGUUGAUGAGCCCGCGUACCAUUAGCUUGUUGGUGAGGUAAAGGCUCACCAAGGCGACGAUGGUUAGCUGGUCUGAGAGGAUGAUCAGCCACACUGGAACUGAGACACGGUCCAGACUCCUACGGGAGGCAGCAGUCGGGAAUUUUGUGCAAUGGGGGAAACCCUGACACAGCAACGCCGCGUGAGGGAUGAAGGCCUUCGGGUCGUAAACCUCUGUCGGGAGGGACGAAAGUAUUUUGGACCAAUAAUCCAGAGUAUCGACGGUACCUCCAAAGGAAGCACCGGCUAACUCCGUGCCAGCAGCCGCGGUAAUACGGAGGGUGCAAGCGUUGUUCGGAAUUAUUGGGCGUAAAGCGCGCGUAGGCGGCUUGGUAAGUCGGGUGUGAAAGCCCGGGGCUCAACCCCGGAAUUGCAUUCGAAACUGCCAGGCUAGAGUCUCGGAAAGGGAGGCGGAAUUUCCCGGUGUAGAGGUG